rnacentral:rRNA from 1 species
AACGCCGCGUGAACGAUGAAGGCCUUCGGGUCGUAAAGUUCUGUUGUUAGGGAAGAACAAGUACCGUUCGAAUAGGGCGGUACCUUGACGGUACCUAACCAGAAAGCCACGGCUAACUACGUGCCAGCAACUGCGGUGACUGAGCGGGCUGGCAAGGCGCAUA